AGGUGGCAGUGAUAAGAAGAAGAGGUGUUGGUUGCUGCAUUAUUUGCGCAACAAAGGAGAGAGUGGAAAUGUGGCAAGGGCAGAGUGGAACCAACGCAUAGAGUAGAGAGAAAUUGCGACUGUUACAUUACACAAAGUUCUUUGGUUGUUGUGUAUAAUAUUAUAGUAAUAUCCAUUUAUGUAUUUUAUCAUAUGAUUUCUUGUCUGGAAUAUGCCUGGGUUACUGUUAUGACCAAUCUCUCCGUCUCUCUUGCCCUUCUGCCCUUUUUUUCUGUUUCAAACUGCCCAUCCUGCCCGUUGUUGAACACUUUCCCUCUUUCUCAAGCACCCCUCUCUCUCUUUCUCUCUCUCAAACCUGCUUUUGACUAAACUUCGCAACUGGGUAUCACUGGUUUUCACUUGUGAUCCAUUAUUUCUUUUGUUUUUUAUGGGUUCAAAUGAUUUGAAGUGAGAUGCUUUGAAAUGGGUUCUCUCUGUUGCUAUUAGUUUUGGUGCUUUUCAUCUAGUUUUCGUGAAGAUGGGUUUGGGUCCUGAUUCUGUAAAGGUGAAGAAUUUUGAAGAUAAAUCAAAGAGCAAGAAGAAGAAGGAAGAUGAGGGGAGUAGAAAAGAGAAGGAGAUUGGGUGUUGGGCUAAAUUCAGCUUGAUGGGAGGUUGCAUGCCUAAAAGAUCAAAAGUUGAUAGCUCUCUAAGCGGAAUCACUACUCAGUAUGUGCAAUCUAAAUCUACGGAUGAGAAGAGCACAGACCAACCAGUUGUUCCUGUGAUGUCCUUUACAACUAGUAAUGGAGAAAGUACCUCAUCCACUCCAAAAUUCAGUGAGGAACUGAAGCUUGCAUCUCAGCUCCGAAAGUUUACAUUCAACGACCUUAAAUUAGCGACUAGGAAUUUCAGGCCAGAGAGUCUUCUUGGGGAGGGUGGUUUUGGUUGUGUCUUUAAAGGGUGGGUCGAGGAGAAUGGAACUGCUCCUGUGAAACCUGGCACAGGGCUUACAGUUGCAGUGAAAACCCUCAACCAUGAUGGACUUCAGGGUCAUAAGGAGUGGCUUGCUGAAGUUAGUUUUCUUGGCAACCUUCUCCAUCCCAACUUGGUUAAAUUGAUUGGUUAUUGUAUUGAAGAUGAUCAGAGGUUACUGGUGUACGAGUUUAUGCCAAGAGGAAGUUUGGAGAACCACCUCUUCAGAAAAGGGUCCUUGCCUCUUCCUUGGUCAAUCAGAGUGAAAAUUGCACUUGGUGCUGCAAAGGGUCUUGCCUUCCUUCAUGAAGAGGCUGAAAGAUCAGUGAUAUAUCGUGAUUUUAAGACAUCUAAUAUCUUAUUAGAUGCGGAUUACAAUGCCAAGCUCUCUGAUUUUGGACUUGCCAAAGACGGUCCUGAGAGUGGUAAAACUCAUGUAUCUACUCGAGUAAUGGGAACAUAUGGCUAUGCUGCCCCAGAAUAUGUGAUGACUGGACAUUUGACCUCAAAGAGUGAUGUCUACAGUUUUGGGGUUGUUCUCCUAGAACUUAUCACUGGAAAAAAACCUGUCUCAACAGAAGAUUUUGGUUCUGAAAUGAACAUUGUUCACUGGGCAAGGGCCUUGAUUCGUAAAGGUGAUGUGGUAAGCAUUGUGGAUACUGUCCUGACACAGAAUGCAAAAAUCGAAUCAAUCUGGAGAAUUGCUGAAGUUGCUAUCCAGUGUGUUCAACAACGUGCAGUUUCCAGGCCAAAGAUGCAGGAAGUAAUUUUAGCAAUACAAGAAGCUAUCAAAAUAGAGAAAGGAAGUGAUGCAAACCAAAAACUUUCAGGUAAUGGUAGCUCCAAGGCACAAUCUUCAAGAAAAACAUUACUCACUAGUUUCCUUGAGAUUGAGAGCCCUGACUUAUCCAGUGGUUGCCUGGUCCCAGCUGCAAGAUAGCUUUUUCUUCAAGAGUCUUAGUCUAAAACUACUCAUAACUGUAACAAAUAGUCACCAUGUGCAUGUAAUAGUUUGUGUUAUCUAAUUUUUCUGCCUGGUGUAUCUCCCGUCCUCGUUUUAGUUGACCCUUCAGGCGCCAAAUGUCUAAAAUGAGGCCUUCUCCAGACUGUGACUCCACAGAUCGAACAUAUGACCAAUUCAUGGAGGGUAGUGCACUUUCACCACUAUACCAGGCUCACUGGUCCAACAUCCUCUUUUAAUUUCAAAUAGAUUCAAAAAGGUAUUUAAAAAACAAAUAAAUAAGAGGCACCUACCAUAGACUUGGCAUGCUAGUGUUGGUGUUUUUUUUCUCAAAAUGCAAUCAUACAAUGUUGGUAUUUAAUAAUGAUGUUCUCACUAUGUAUUGAUUGCUAAGGUUUUAGUUGCCCUACCAAAUAGUUAGGUAUAUUGGAGAGCCUUGUCUUGUGGUCCAAGGGGGUUUUAUUGGGUUCUGUUUGGUGCUGUUAUAUAUUGAACAUAAAUUAUCACUUAGAGAUGAGCAUUUGGU
rnacentral:misc_RNA from 1 species